AGAUUUCCAGGUCAUCUGAGUUGACUAUACACGGUGGCAUUUUUGAAAUGUUAUGGUUGGUCCAUUUGGAAUGUGAUUCCGUGUUUUAUUCUAGCUAUUUUCCAUCGUGCGCCCUAGUUUGAUGGAUGUUGGAUCUGCCAUAUCAUUUAAUGAGGUCAGAUCUAACGCCUCUUAUUUUUUCUGAGUUUUCUUUCUUUUUAUUUUUUAUUUUAAAUUGCAUUUUCUUUAAAAAUUCAUUUUUCAUCCAAAAAAUCCCUAAAUAAUUUCUAAAAUUUUCUUUUAUUUUUCUUCAUCUGAUUUUUAUUUUUUCAUAUUUUAU
rnacentral:lncRNA from 1 species